rnacentral:rRNA from 1 species
UACGGAAGGUCCGGGCGUUAUCCGGAUUUAUUGGGUUUAAAGGGAGCGCAGGCGGGCUUUUAAGCGUGACGUGAAAUGUAGAUGCUCAACAUCUGAACUGCGUCGCGAACUGUAGGCCUUGAGUGAGUACAACGGAGGCGGAAUUCGUGGUGUAGCGGUGAAAUGCUUAGAUAUCACGAAGAACCCCGAUUGCGAAGGCAGCCUCCGAGUCCUUUACUGACGCUAAAGCUCGAAAGUGCGGGUAUCGAAC